rnacentral:rRNA from 1 species
UACGUAGGGGGCAAGCGUUGUCCGGAAUCAUUGGGCGUAAAGCGCGCGUAGGCGGCCCGGUAAGUCCGUUGUGAAAGUCAAAGGCUCAACCUUUGAACGCCGAUGGAUACUGCCGGGCUAGAGUCCGGAAGAGGCGAGUGGAAUUCCUGGUGUAGCGGUGGAAUGCGCAGAUAUCAGGAAGAACACCAAUGGCGAAAGCAGCUCUCUGGGACGGUACUGACGCUGAGACGCGAAAGCGUGGGGAGCGAAACAGG